rnacentral:snRNA from 1 species
GGAUGUGAGGGCGAUCUGGCUGCGACAUCUGUCACCCCAUUGAUCGCCAGGGUUGAUUCGGCUGAUCUGGCUGGCUAGGCGGGUGUCCCCCUCCUCCCUCACUGAUUCAUGUGCGUCCCUCCCGAAGCUGCGCGCUCGGUCGAAGAGGACGACCUUCCCCCGCCCCCCCCCCAGGAGAGGACCGGUCUUCGGACAAGGGUAUACGAGUAGCUGCGCUCCCCUGCUAGAACCUCCAAACAAGCUCUCAAAUGUGGUUAAAAACCCCAUUAGAGAAUUAGUAGUGGGAGAGCAUUUUCACUGAUGUGUAAAGCGUGCAAU